rnacentral:rRNA from 1 species
GACGAACGCUGGCGGCGUGCUUAACACAUGCAAGUCGAACGGAAAGGCCCUGCUUUUGUGGGGUGCUCGAGUGGCGAACGGGUGAGUAACACGUGAGUAACCUGCCCUUGACUUUGGGAUAACUUCAGGAAACUGGGGCUAAUACCGGAUAGGAGCUCCUGCUGCAUGGUGGGGGUUGGAAAGUUUCGGCGGUUGGGGAUGGACUCGCGGCUUAUCAGCUUGUUGGUGGGGUAGUGGCUUACCAAGGCUUUGACGGGUAGCCGGCCUGAGAGGGUGACCGGCCAGAUUGGGACUGAGAUACGGCCCAGACUCCUACGGGAGGCGGCAGUGGGGAAUAUUGCACAAUGGGCGGAAGCCUGAUGCAGCAACGCCGCGUGCGGGAUGACGGCCUUCGGGUUGUAAACCGCUUUCGCCUGUGACGAAGCGUGAGUGACGGUAAUGGGUAAAGAAGCACCGGCUAACUACGUG